UACAGAGGUCUCAAGCGUUGUUCGGAAUUACUGGGCGUAAAGGGUGCGCCGGCCGCGCGGGCAGUCAAAUGUGUAAUUCAGGGGCUCAACCCCUGCACUGCGCUUGAUACUUCCGCGCUCGAGCUUUGGAGAGGAGUCUGGAAUUCUCGGUGUAGCAGUGAAAUGCGUGGAUAUCGAGAAGAACACUUAGGGCGUAGGCAAGACUCUGGACAAAUGCUGACGCUCAUGCACGAAGGCUAGGGUAGCGAACGGG
rnacentral:rRNA from 1 species